AAGCUAUGGUGUGGGCACUACCCCUUUAACUCCUUAAAUCUCUCCCAAGACUCAUUUACAGAUUCACUUGCCAAUUGCUUAAAACUUUGGAUUGCUUUCCUCAUCCU
rnacentral:snoRNA from 1 species